rnacentral:sRNA from 1 species
GCAACUUCAUGCAUUUGAAGCCCAUUUCUAGAGAGCUGCGGCGGGAGCUGUAUGGGCGCCGUCGCAAGAAGCAUAGAUCAAGAUCCCGAUCCCGGGAGCGUCGUUCUCGGUCUAGAGACCGUGGUCGUGGCGGUGGCGGUGGCGGUGGUGGAGGCGGCGGCGGACGGGAGCGUGACAGGAGGCGGUCGAGAGAUCGUGAAAGAUCUGGGCGAUUCUGAGCCAUGCCAUUUUUACCUUAUGUCUGCUAGAAAGUGUUGUAGUUGAUUGACCAAACCAGUUCAUAAGGGGAAUUUUUUUUAAAAAACAACAAAAAAAAAAACAUACAAAGAUGGGUUUCUGAAUAAAAUUUGUAGUGAUAACAGUA